rnacentral:rRNA from 1 species
UACGUAAGUGGCGAGCGUUAUCCGGAUUUACUGGGCGUAAAGGGCGCGUAGGCGGUCAGCACAAGUCAGUUGUGAAAUCUCCGGGCUUAACUCGGAAAGGUCAACUGAUACUGUGCGACUAGAGUGCGGAAGGGGCAACUGGAAUUCUCGGUGUAGCGGUGAAAUGCGUAGAUAUCGUAAGGAAGACCAGUGGCGAAGGCGGGUCUCUGGACAGUUCCUGACGCUGAGGCACGAAGGUCAGGGGAGCAAACGGG